UACGUAGGUGGCAAGCGUUAUCCGGAUUUAUUGGGCGUAAAGGGAACGCAGGCGGUCUUUUAAGUCUGAUGUGAAAGCCUUCGGCUUAACCGGAGUAGUGCAUUGGAAACUGGGAGACUUGAGUGCAGAAGAGGAGAGUGGAACUCCAUGUGCAGCGGUGAAAUGCGUAGAUAUAUGGAAGAACACCAGUGGCGAAAGCGGCUCUCUGGUCUGUAACUGACGCUGAGGUUCGAAAGCGUGGGUAUCGAACAGG
rnacentral:rRNA from 1 species